rnacentral:tRNA from 1 species
GGCAAGGUGGCCGAGUGGUUAAGGCGGCAGUCUCAAGUUCAUGCUAGUUUUUGCAUAGCUUGCUCGCUCAACGCAAGUAUAUUGCUGCUGGAGCAAUCCUCCAGGGUUCGAAUCCCUGUCUUGUCA